GAUACCAAAGACUAAUGCACCGGAUCCCAUCGGAACUCCGCAGCGUGCUUUGGCGAGAGUAGUACUAGGAUGGUUGCCUGGAAGUCCUCGUGUUGCA
rnacentral:rRNA from 1 species